AUUUCAGGCAUUGCCUUAGUACGGCGAGUGAGCGGCAAAAGCUCAAAUUUGAAAUCUGGCACCUUCGGUGUCCGAGUUGUAAUUUGAAGAAGGUAACUUUGGAGUUGGCUCUUGUCUAUGUUCCUUGGAACAGGACGUCACAGAGGGUGAGAAUCCCGUGCGAUGAGAUGCCCAAUUCUAUGUAAAGUGCUUUCGAAGAGUCGAGUUGUUUGGGAAUGCAGCUCUAAGUGGGUGGUAAAUUCCAUCUAAAGCUAAAUAUUGGCGAGAGACCGAUAGCGAACAAGUACAGUGAUGGAAAGAUGAAAAGAACUUUGAAAAGAGAGUGAAAAAGUACGUGAAAUUGUUGAAAGGGAAGGGCUUGAGAUCAGACUUGGUAUUUUGCGAUCCUUUCCUUCUUGGUUGGGUUCCUCGCAGCUUACUGGGCCAGCAUCGGUUUGGAUGGUAGGAUAAUGACUAAGGAAUGUGGCUCUACUUCGGUGGAGUGUUAUAGCCUUGGUUGAUACUGCCUGUCUAGACCGAGGACUGCGUCUUUUGACUAGGAUGUUGGCAUAAUGAUCUUAAGCCACCCGUCUUGAAACCCGGAAACACA
rnacentral:rRNA from 1 species